rnacentral:rRNA from 1 species
CGAACGGGUGAGUAACGCGUGAGGAACCUGCCUCAAAGAGGGGGACAACAGUUGGAAACGACUGCUAAUACCGCAUAAGCCCACGGGUCGGCAUCGACCUGAGGGAAAAGGAGCAAUCCGCUUUGAGAUGGCCUCGCGUCCGAUUAGCUAGUUGGUGAGGUAGUGGCCCACCAAGGCGACGAUCGGUAGCCGGACUGAGAGGUUGAACGGCCACAUUGGGACUGAGACACGGCCCAG